AUUGAACGCUGGCGGCAGGCCUAACACAUGCAAGUCGAACGAGUGGCGGACGGGUGAGUAAUGUCUGGGACACUGCCUGAUGGAGGGGGAUAACUACUGGAAACGGUAGCUAAUACCGCAUACUAUCAGAUGUGCCCAUAUGGGAUUAGCUGGUGGGUGGGGUAACGGCUCACCAAGGCGACGAUCCCUAGCUGGUCUGAGAGGAUGACCAGCCACACGGGAACUGAGACACGGUCCAGACUCCUACGGGAGGCGUCAUUGGGGAAUAUUGCACAAUGGGCGCAAGCCUGAUGCAGCCAUGCCGCGUGUAUGAAGAAGGCCUUCGGGUUGUAAAGUACUUUCAGCGGGGAGGCGUUACCCGCAGAAGAAGCACCGGCUAACUCCGUGCCAGCAGCCGCGGUAAUAC
rnacentral:rRNA from 1 species